rnacentral:rRNA from 1 species
GUCUACAGCCAUGCCACCCUGAACAAGCCCGAACCUGUCUGAUCUUGUAAGUUAAGCAGAGUCGGGGCUGGUUAGUACUUGGAUGGGAGACCACCUAGGAAGACGAGGUGCCGUAGGCA